rnacentral:tRNA from 1 species
CAAUUUAAAUUCAAUAGAAGAAGCUUUUAUUUACAUUAAAAUUAAAAUUGUGCAAUUCAAUUUAAAUUGA